GACGGGACCCGCACAAGCGGUGGAUGAUGUGGUUUAAUUCGAUGCAACGCGAAAACCUUACCCACCUUUGACAUGGCAGGAAUCCCGAAGAGAUUUGGGAGUGCUCGAAAGAGAACCUGCACACAGGUGCUGCAUGGCUGUCGUCAGCUCGUGUCGUGAGAUGUUGGGUUAAGUCCCGCAACGAGCGCAACCCUUGCCAUUAGUUGCUACGAAAGGGCACUCUAAUGGGACUGCCGGUGACAAACCGGAGGAAGGUGGGGAUGACGUCAAGUCCUCAUGGCCCUUAUAGGUGGGGCUACACACGUCAUACAAUGGCCGGUACAGAGGGUAGCCAACCCGCGAGGGGGAGCCAAUCCCACAAAGCCGGUCGUAGUCCGGAUCGCAGUCUGCAACUCGACUGCGUGAAGUCGGAAUCGCUAGUAAUCGUGGAUCAGCAUGUCACGGUGAAUGCGUUCCCGGGUCUU
rnacentral:rRNA from 1 species